GAUGAACGCUGGCGGCGUGCCUAAUACAUGCAAGUCGAGCGAACAGACGAGGAGCUUGCUCCUUUGACGUUAGCGGCGGACGGGUGAGUAACACGUAGGUAACCUACCUAUAAGACUGGGAUAACUUCGGGAAACCGGAGCUAAUACCGGAUAAUAUUUCGAACCGCAUGGUUCGAUAGUGAAAGAUGGCUUUGCUAUCACUUAUAGAUGGACCUGCGCCGUAUUAGCUAGUUGGUAAGGUAACGGCUUACCAAGGCAACGAUACGUAGCCGACCUGAGAGGGUGGUCGGCCACACUGGAACUGAGACACGGUCCAGACUCCUACGGGAGGCAGCAGUAGGGAAUCUUCCGCAAUGGGCGAAAGCCUGACGGAGCAACGCCGCGUGAGUGAUGAAGGUCUUCGGAUCGUAAAACUCUGUUAUUAGGGAAGAACAAACGUGUAAGUAACUGUGCACGUCUUGACGGUACCUAAUCAGAAAGCCACGGCUAACUACGUG
rnacentral:rRNA from 1 species